GACAGAGGAGCCAAGCGUUGUCCGGAUUGACUGGGCGUAAAGCGCACGCAGGCGGUCGCGCGCGUGGGGUGUGAAAUCUGGCCGCUUAACGGCCAGGCGCCAUCCCAUACGGCGCGACUGGAGUGAUGCGAGAGGUCGGUGGAAUUGCCGGUGAUAGUGGUGAAAUGCGACAGAUAUCAGGAGGAACACCAAUGGCGAAGGCAGCACUCGUGGGACGGUACUGACGCUGAGACGCGAAAGCGUGGGGAGCGAACAGG
rnacentral:rRNA from 1 species